rnacentral:tRNA from 1 species
GGGCCUAUAGUUAAGCGGUAUAACGCCUGCAUGGCAUGCAGGAAGCCGGGGUUCGACUCCCCGUAGGUCCACAA